rnacentral:rRNA from 1 species
GACGAACGCUGGCGGCGUGCCUAAUACAUGCAAGUCGAGCGAACAGACGAGGAGCUUGCUCCUCUGACGUUAUCGGCGGACGGGCGAGUAACACGUGGAUAACCUACCUAUAAGACUGGGAUAACUUCGGGAAACCGGAGCUAAUACCGGAUAAUAUAUUGAACCGCAUGGUUUAAUAGUGAAAGACGAUUUUGCUGUCACUUAUAGAUGUAUCCGCGCCGCAUUAGCUAGUUGGUAAGUUAACGGCUUACCAAGGCAACGAUGCGUAGCCGACCUGAGAGAGUGAUCGGCAACACUGGAACUGAGACACGGUCCAGACUCCUACGGGAGGCAGCGGUAGGGAAUCUUCCGAAAUGGGCGAAAGCCUGACGGAGCAACGCCGCGUGAGUGAUGAGGGUCUUCGGAUCGUAAAACUCUGUUAUUAGGGAGGAACAAAUGUGUAAGUAACUAUGCACGUCUUGACGGUACCUAAUCAGAAAGCCACGGCUAACUACGUG